rnacentral:misc_RNA from 1 species
AAAAAUUUUGUAAAAACAGCCUCGCGCCGAAAUCGUCCACCCUGGUCCGAAAGGCCGAAAGGAGGAUGAUGUAAGCGCACGUUGGCCCACAUUUUGUGCACCGUUCCGUCUUUGGUGGUGGGGCGAGCGGCCCGAGCUUUCUCUGGCCCUCGCCUGUCAGCUCGGACCUGCAACGGGUCCGAGCCGUGGACAAGCCACCGCCCUUUUCUUCAAACCUUUGCUUUGCCUUUUUUCUGUCUGACACUUUUAUUUGUAUGAAUGUACAA